AGACUUUACAGAGUGCACAUGAAGGCAACAUCUGUCUCCUCACGGCAUCCAGGGCUUUUGUUGGUCCCCAGCUUUUGUUGCCCUCCCCUGCAUGAAUCAGGGACGUUGCAAAUAUUUAAAACAGGCAGCACAUUAGGCCUCCACACCAAUUAUUAUUUAUCUAGGCUUGCCAAAAUGUAUAGUUGCCCCUCCACCCAGCCCUUCCUCCCCAGCCUUCCUGUGAAUGGAUGCUUUGUUUGAGGAUCCGGGUUCCAGUCUGGCUGUGGGAGGGAUGCUGUGGCUGCUUUGCAUCGAUCAAUUACAGUCUGUGAAAUAACUGUUGAGUCCAAAGCUCACGUCUGCCAGGUCGACAAAGACCCCAGACAGUGAGGCCUUACGGCCGUUGAGGACAACAGAGACAAUUCCACUGUUACUGAUGAAUCCUUUUGACUCUUAAACUGAGGUUAUAAUUUUUUAAUAGCUCUAUUGUUUGUUUUUUUAUUUCUUCAACAGAAAUGUUAUCCAGUUUUGUGACUUUCCUCACAUGCAUCUGUAUAGACACCAUCUUUGAAUUGUUGAAGAGUCAGACUGAAUAAAUGCAGUAAAAGUCAUAAUUACCAACCAAAAAGUAUCAUUUGAAAACCUAAAGCCACCAGGAUUAAGACGUGUGAAUCUUUCACAGGAUCAGAGUGCGUCCUCACACGCACAUUCAUGAACUUCUGUUACCGGUGUCAGUUUGCUCGGCUCAGCGUUGGGUUUCAUUCUCCAAGAAGAAAAACAAGAAAAGAAAAGCAGAGAGGAGAACGGAGACAAAUCAACCCUCAUCUGCAGAAUGUCACGCAUGGGGAGGGAUGUUCAUGGUUUGUAUCCGGGUCAGCUGGCUAGGGUUCACACUGUGCGGGCCAAAGACUGCGGAUUUUAUCCUCUCUCCAUAAGUAUGGCCCAUAAGUCUGCUGAGUGCUCGGAGCCUGGAGGUGAAAGGGGGCAGCCCGGUUUUGACGUCCUCGCCCUGAGAGCCCAGAGCCUGGAUCAGAGAGCUGAGGAGAAACUCCAGCGUCCUCCUCAGACAACCUACCAGGAGCACUUUGGAUCUCCAUGUCUUUUCUUUCAUCGCUCUUAGCUUGCUGUUUUCUAUAAACCUUAAAAGAAAUGUGAAGCAGAAAAGAUGCAUUCAAACAAGUGAGUGCAUUUUUCUACUGUGGCCACAGGAGGGCGCUAAUGUUUGAUUUCUGCUUUUUUAUGUUGCAAUGCAAGAGAUGUGUGUUAAACAAUUAUGAAAUGGAUCCAUGUUUGUAGCUUUACUUUCCCUUUAACAAUAAGGAAGAACUAAAAAAAAAUGUUUGUUAUGUAAUUUGUGGCUUUCUUUCCUUUCAGUAACAGCUGCAGAUCCAGUUUGGAAUAUUUCAGCUAUGUGAGGCGUUUUGUAAUCUCUUCAUCAACUCGUUGACUGCUGGGAACCAGAUGAAUUCCGGCAUCUAAAGACAAACGUCUGGAGGUUAAACUGCAGCAAAUUCAGUCACUUUAAUUCGUGGCUCAGCUUCUGUUCACAAAUAUUCACUGAUGUUUUUGCAGCUCAAGGAUGAUGUGAGUUUUACACAAACUGUACAAGACUGUAUUAGGGAACUUAAAGUUUUUUUCUGAUUUAAUUUGAGGCUUUAUUCUAAUUUCUUUGGCUUUUCAGAAAUAGUUUUUUUUUAUUAUUUGAUCAGCCCUUCAACAUCGACCCAUAAUUAAGGAUAAAAAUAAAACGAAAUCAUGGUUUGAACUUUGAACAGUAUGGAAUUGGACUCGACUUUUUCUAAAUGCCUCGAAUUUGUGAUCUUUUAGUUUUUGGGAGCAUCAAA